GAUGGACGCUGGCGGCGUGCCUAACGCAUGCCAGUCGAACGGAGAUUACGGACGGAAGUUUUCGGAUGGAAGCCUGUAAUUCUUAGUGGCGGACGGGUGAGUAACGCGUGGGCAACCUGCCCUAUACAGGGGGAUAGCAGCUGGAAACGGCUGGUAAGACCGCAUAAGUCGGUUAAAUCGCAUGAUUUGAUCGGGAAAUGAGCAAUCAGGUAUAGGAUGGGCCCGCGUCCGAUUAGCCAGUUGGCAGGGUAAAAGCCUACCAAAGCGACGAUCGGUAGCCGGACUGAGAGGUCGGACGGCCACAUUGGGACUGAGACACGGCCCAAACUCCUACGGGAGGCAGCAGUGGGGGAUAUUGUACAAUGGAGGAAACUCUGAUGCAGCGACGCCGCGUGAGUGAAGAAGUAUUUCGGUAUGUAAGGCUCUAUCAGCAGGGAAGAUGAUGACGGUACCUGACGAAGAAGCCCCGGCUAACUACGUG
rnacentral:rRNA from 1 species